CUUAAGAAGCUUUCUUCGAGAUUUUUGUCUCCUUGCAUUUUUUGCUUCCUUCGCUUCCUUUGGACUUUCUUUCUUCUUCUUCUUCUUCAUCCUCCGACCUCGGUUCUAGUAUCAUGGCCAGAACCUCUCCACGAGGAAGUCAGUCGGGGAACCCGACCGACGACUCACGGUCGACCCCGGAGGUGGAUGUUUCUUCACUUUCGGGGGCAAGCGUCGAACGUCUCAGGGAGCAAUACAGUAUCCCGGAGUAGUUCGAGCUCUUCGCCCCUGGGGCUGAGGGUCGGGU
rnacentral:lncRNA from 1 species